rnacentral:lncRNA from 1 species
AUUAUUGCAUAAAAAACCAUGAAACAACCACUUCAUCCUUAUGCUCCCAGAUUCUGUAGGUCAGGAAUUUGGAAAGAGAACAGAAGGCAUGGCUCUUCUCCAUGAUGUCUGGGGCUUCAGCUAUGUUGAGUCCCAUGGCUGGGGCUAGGAUGGAUGGGGCUGGAUGACCCAUUGACCUGGCAACAUCUUGGCUCCUAUGUCCAGUCUUUGAGUUGGGCUGGCUGGCGGCUGGCUGAGUUGGGGCUGGUGACCAGAGCAUCUACCUGUGGUCACUGCAGCAUGGCGGCCUCAGGCUCCAGGGACCGCUCACAGGGAAGUUCAGGGCCCCAAGGGCAGAUGUUACCAGGCAACAAUGCAAGUCUAGAUUGCCUUCCAUGACUUGGCCUUGGGAGUCAUACGGUACCACUUCUGCCAUUCUCUAUUGGUCAAAGCAGACCCAGAAUCCAGGGGAGUGGACACAGCCCCUACCUCUUGAUGGGAAAAGUGCCAAAGAAUUUGUGACCAUGUUGCAACUUGCCGUAUUGCACGUUGUUCUUUCACCUUCCUUACAACCCAUCCUGAAGCUGCAGGAACAAGAUCAGCUCUGCCUGAAAAUCAGCACAGCGCCUCUAGCCCAGUCCACAGAGGUUCUACCAAGAAAGGCUGCUAUGACGGUUUCCUGAGGUGUGACAGACAUCCUGAAGAGGCACUCAGCACCCAUUCUCAACUCCUUCUGGAGUGUCUUCCUCUACUGCAGAGGCGGGAACUCUGAGAGCCAUUUUUCCAGUCUCACUUGCAGCUGGGGUUCUAACUGUGAAUUAGGUUCAACCAAUUAUAUGCAUUUGCAAGAGAUUUGGAAGUCAGAAUGGAGGCAGAAGCCACUUCCUACUGAUUGGCUGUAAACACUGGCAAGCAUGAUUGUGGUAACACCGGGGCUUUCUGAAGCCAUGUCUCAAAGUUCAGCCACUGAUUGCAUGGGUGUCGAGAGACAUUAAAGUGGUGGUGACAGAACUUUCUAAUGAACAGAUUUCAGCUAAAACAAUGUGUCUUCGGAGUCACUAUUCCCAGUGACAGGCUCCUGAUUUCCUCCCUUUACGGUGGUGGCAGAUGUGGAAGCACCCGCAAGCCGGCUCCUCCAGCCUUCCCAACGACGUUGUAAACACCUGCUUCUCUCUAGACAAUGACUUUCUGCUUAAAAUAGCUGGCGUGGUUUUUGCUUCCUGCAACUAAGCCCCAUUGAUAUAUGCUGUUUUCCUUCUUUCCCUCUAACUGCUGGUUUUCACAACAGCCAACCCCGCAAUCGAUCCUUUAAGCUCUAAAAUGAAAGCCUUGAAUAUCUUCAUCACUCCAUAUCCUGCUUUGUUUUUCUCCAUAGCAGUGAUUGUCACCCAAAGAUUAUUUUUAUUAUUUGUUGAUUGUCCACCUUACUAGGAUUUAAGCUCCAUUAGAACAGAUACUUUGUUUUGUUCACUUCUGUGACAACUCUCUGACAUUUAGAAGAGUACUAGAAAAUAGCAGGAAUUCAGUACAUAGGGUUGAAUGAACGAAAUCUACCUUUCUUAACCAAACACCACAUUAAAUUCAUGCAUUAAUAGGGUCAUCGACAAGAUAUCCUCAAUAACACCUCCUCAUGAAACAUUUACCUGGGUUUUAAAAAUCCUCCAAAAACACAAAAUAUCAUUUGUGCUAUGUAACUCAGCAUUACAUUUAGGUGACAUCCCCUCCCAGUUUGCCUGAGACGUUCCUGGUUUUAGCACUAAAAGCCCCAUGUUCAUGAGAAUCCCCUCAGUUCUGGGCAAAAAGAUGAUUGGUUAUCCUAAUUAAAUAUCUUAGUUGCUGAGAAAGGCACUGUAAUUACAUUACUUUAGAUCAAUUUUGCAAAUAAAAGUUUGAAGACACAAAUCCACCUGUGGUCUCCUUCCCAUAUCAGCUGUGUUGCACAGGAUCCCCGGAACCAUCAGGUAAAAUCCAAGCAAUGGCUUUGGGUUGUAUUUUAUGUUUUUUACUAAAAUUUCUAUUGCUUGUACCCUGAAUAUUUCAGAGCUGAGCCUGUGAAAUCUUUUCUGCAUCUCAGUUACAUUCGAAACAUGAGCUUCCCAGAGAAAAGAUACUGCAGCAUAAACAUGUGCUCUUGAGUCACAGCACCGGGGAAGUCCCCUUGGGAUCCAGCAGAGUGAACUCUGCAGAAAAUAUGGAUCAAUGUUAAUUCUGGGGAUGAAUAAAGGCUUAGUCAUCACCUUCCCCCGAUUAAGGAACGCACUCCCAUCUCGCUGCUAACAUUAUCCUGAAACUUCAGGCAGUGAGUUCCGGUGCAAUGUGUGGAUUCGAAAUGUCAACGCUUCUGAACUGGCAUAUUAGAGAAAAUUUGGAGAAUAAGAGUAUUCUCAGACACACAACCCAAGCUGCCAGAACAUCUUGGAUAUCCUCUCCCUGAUGAUUCAUGUGGAGAGAUGUUUGGGUGUUUAGAUUUUAAAAUAUGCUUCCCAACCAAAAGUGAAACUUAAAGAUGCUAUCACUCUGGAGUUUUUUUGCACCUGCAAAACAAAAAUUUGUGUUUUUAAAAUUAACUGUUUUCGCGACACAGUCUGUUGCAUGUGAUAUUGGUGUUUCUCCAGCCAAGCAUGUAAGGG